GUAGUGCCGCCGGGACCGUUGGCCACUGACGCGUUUUGCAGCUGUUGUAUUCCUAGCUCCCUGGGCACUGCGAGCUGAAAGAGCCGAGCUCGCGGGCCCGUCAUCAUGUCGCGUUACGGACGGUAUGGAGGAGAAACCAAGGUGUAUGUUGGUAAUCUGGGAACCGGUGCCGGCAAAGGAGAGUUAGAAAGGGCUUUCAGUUAUUAUGGUCCCUUAAGAACUGUGUGGAUUGCGAGAAAUCCUCCAGGAUUUGCCUUUGUGGAAUUUGAAGAUCCUAGAGAUGCAGAAGAUGCAGUGAGAGGCCUGGAUGGGAAGGUGAUUUGUGGUUCCCGAGUGAGAGUUGAAUUAUCAACAGGCAUGCCUCGGAGAUCUCGUUUUGAUAGACCACCCGCCCGACGUCCCUUUGAUCCCAAUGAUAGAUGCUAUGAGUGUGGCGAAAAGGGACAUUAUGCUUAUGAUUGUCAUCGUUAUAGCCGCCGGCGGCGAAGCAGGUAUUUAUUUUAAUAGAGGAAUGGUUGGUAUACUAGUUAAUCGAGUAAUUUUUUUAUUAGCAAGGCACAAACUAGUAUUUUUCUAUAAACUUGAAUGUUAAUUGUACAGGUGUAUUUUACAAUUUUUGUUUAAUUAAACAAAUGUUAAUAUAUUAAUAAUCAACCUGGUCAAAACCUUUCAGGUUUCUUCGUUUGAGUCAGUCGCCUUGAUUCAGAAUGUCACGAGCCUUAUGAUAUCAUGCUGAGGCGCCUUGCAAAUCCGACAAUUAAGAUCCUCCUAGACCUUGAGGUGAUCAGCAUAAGAGGCCAGAUCCCCUCGAGUCAUCUACACCUAGCUUCACCUUAUUCUUUAAAGGGCAGAAAAUUUGAGACGGUGAUCGCCGUAACAGUAAAUUUGGCUUACAUUGGGGCCCCCUCCGGUUUAGAAAGAGGAACACCAGAUUGACCACAUUCCCAACUAGAAAAAUCUUCUUGCGUCAAUCAAGCCUCACCUGGCUCAUUUGGCUGUCAGUUUGAUCGUCGUUAGAUUGAAGAAAACAUCUAGAUGCAGCGAUCGGCUAUAGAUACUUCUAGAUCGUCUAGAUCUACUAGACCAUGGGCCAAAGAGGGUCGACCUGCAAACUUGCAAGGUUUAUUUUAAAUACAAAUUACAGUGUUUUAUAUUAUGUAAUUCUAAAAUGUAAUUCAGCUUUUAACAAAUCUUUUUUUAGGUAGUAAAAAAAAAAAAAAAAAAAACUAAUAGGCCCAGAGUUUAUUUCCAAAUGAGACCUAAAUUUAAAUAGUUUUGAGAUUUGGUUUCAGCAGAGGCACACAAACUCUAAAAACGAGUUACCAUCUAACAUUUUGUUAUUUUCUAACUUAAAAAUUAGGUCACGGUCUAGAUCACAUUCGAGAUCCAGGGGUAGGCGAUACUCUCGCUCACGAAGCAGGAGCAGGGGAAGGAGGUCAAGAUCAGCAUCUCCACGACGAUCAAGAUCUGUGUCUCUUCGUAGAUCAAGAUCAGCUUCACUCAGACGAUCUAGGUCUGGUUCUAUAAAAGGAUCGAGGUAUUUCCAAUCACGGUCGAGGUCAAGAUCACGAUCCAGGUCUCUUUCACGACCAAGAAGCAGCCGAUCAAAGUCCAGAUCUCCAUCUCCAAAAAGAAGUCGUUCCCCAUCAGGAAGUCCGCGAAGAAGUGCAAGUCCUGAAAGAGUGGACUGAAGUUCUCAAGUUCACCUUUUAGGGAAAAGUUAUUUUGUUUACAUUAUUAUAAGGGAUUUGUGGUGUCAAAAGUGUAACCUAGGAAGGGUAUUUCAACAAUCUAAUCAAAAUGGAUUUGGAUUAUUACUCUGUAAAUUUCACAGCAGUAAGAUAAUAUAAAUUUUUGUUGAAUGUAUUAACAUCCUAUGGUCUGAAAAUGUGGGUUUUUAUUUGGCACAUUUAAAUAAAAUGUUUCUAACUAGAUUUUUGAUUUGUGUUCAAUAUUAAUACUCAGUUUGUUAAGCUUCAGGGGUAAACCCUGAUAUUAACCAUAUUCAUACAGAUCUCCAUUUCAAAGUUUAAUGGUGUUACUUGAGUCGUGAACAUCAUUAGCUGUAGUAUGCAUACACUUUGAAAAUCCCUUUUUACCCCUAGCGCUUUGGGUAAGAUAAGAAUUCAAGCUCCCUUAAUAGCAUAAGUGUACCUGACAAGUCCCUACAUUAAUCUACUGGAGUUGGUGUUACUAGAUAAUCAAGCUCUAAUCUCGGUGUGUCAACCUAGAGGGACCACUGAUUCCGAAGGCCAUUUAGUUUAGUAACUGAGGUUUUCAGGCUGUUAGAUGAGAUGGUGUCAAAUUAGAACUCCUGAUUUUAGUAAGUUCUACCCAAUGUUUUUUUGUUUUCAACAUUAAUUUUAUACCACAACUUUUGCAUGUUUGAGGAAUUGUCUGAAUUUGGGACAAAAGAUCUUCAUGUAAACCAGCUUUGCAAAAUUCUCCAGUCCAAACAAUCUAUCUCUUGAAAUGGAUUGCCUUAUUCUGAGCAGAGAUCUGUUAAUUCCCAAUCUAGGUUUUUCAGUUCCUGACUACCAACAUCUUAUUUUGCCAGGCUGGUGUGAAAGUAUUUAAAGAUGUCAAUCAGGAAAAAAAAAAAAGAUGUCAAUCAGAAAUGUUAAUGAGACUAAAGCAGUUUUGUAAAUCUCACCUGCAUUUAGUAAUACCUUAUGUAGUUGUUUUCGUAGCAUCUGGUAGAUUUAGAAUAUAGCCAGUAGAUUCUUUUAUUGAGACUUUUUAUCUUUAGUAGGGCAGUAGUAGUUAAUUUUGAGUUUUUUGGUCAAGCUUUUACCAGGUAUUCACUAGCAUUGGUGCAAAAAGGAAAUACUGGUCUGCAUCAAAUUUAUUUGGUCUGAUUACUAGUGCAUUGAAAGAUUGGAUGCUUUGUUUUCAGAAUUUUGACAACUGGCUGAAUUAAAAUGGUAUAAAGCUUUGUGUAUAAUUGGCAGGUUUAUUUGUUGCACUUGGUCAGCUUUAAUUGUUCUGUAUCAUAUAAAGAUAAGUUCACUUAAUAAAUCUGCAGAGAACAAACAAUCCUGAUAUCAAUUUUUGAAAGUGGGAGUUUUGAGCCAAGAGUAGGAAUCUACCUGUAGCUUUGGGAUGGAUUACUAGCAGCAUCCUAGAGAUUAGUGCAAAAGGAUGAAAAGGAUAUGGAGGAGGGGUAGGGGCAAAAAUGGGUUUAAGAAACAAGCACAGAAAGUUUUGCCCUUAAUGGGAAAGGGAAUGCUGGGUGUCUAGGCUAGUACCUUUUACAUGCUUGACAGCAACCAUUUCUAUGAUUAGUAUACGUCUUAAAAUAACACUUGGAGGCAGUGUACUUUUGUUUACAGUUCCAGGUAUUAGGAAUGCUAAAUUUAUGUGACUGACUUGAUAAGUGCUAGUCUAGGCUCAUUCCUUCUAAAUUUUAAGCCUGGCAACUUGGUAGCUAAUUGAAUAUACCAGACACAGUACGUUGGGCAUAGAAUCUUAUUUUUCCUUUCAGCUACAGAGGAGUGUUGAGAGGUAGGUAAUGCAUACCUUUGACUUCACAGUGGUAGUUUUCCUUUGGACUUGGAGCUAGGCUAAGUAUCAAGUGAAAGGUCCUACCACCUUGCCAUGUCCCUCCUGAGGUGAAGGAAAUCAGGGAGUUGGGAAACACCAUCACUUUGAGACUUGGUUGAAUAAAUGAUGGUGUAGGAUUGUGAUUCUCAUCUUUGUGUAGCCUAUCUUGAAGCCUAAAGGAGCACAGUGAUUUCCAAGAUAAUAAGAGGAAGUAGAAGCUCUAAAACAGUUCGGCAAAGAGCAGUUAGAGUGAAGAGUAAUAGUGAAGAAUUCAUUAGAUCUGGCUCUUCUUGAGUGACCGUUGUUUGGAGGCUUUUGGAAGGGAGGGCUAUACAACCUAGAAGAUGUAAUUGCAUAGCUGGAAAGACAUGAAGUAAAGGUCAAAGUAACAUACUAGGGGCCUGGCUGGUCUUGGAGUUUUUGGAGGGUGGUGAAUACCGGUGACAAGCCAAAAAAAUGGGGUGAAAAUGCCUAGGUUUAUGGUAUGGUAGUAUUAAAGUUCUAUCUUAAGGGAGGGUGGCAGGGAAGCACCAGUAGGCAGCUUUAAAGCCUGACAGGUUAUUUUUUCCACACCUUAUAGGUUUCCUGUUACCAUUCUAGUAAAAAUACGAAAGGACAUUCUGUCAAUCCCCACAACAGAACAGUGCUGCUAACCUCAUCUCGCAGAAGAGGAAAUGGGUUCAGAAAGAUUGCUAAUACGUUAUCCUAUUAGGAGGUAGGAAACAUUUGAAUCCUACAUACCAUUUCAAAGCCUUUACUUUUCUAGUCAUUAAAGCACCUUACUGCUCCUUUAAAACAAAACCAUAUGGAAAAAUGAGGAAAUAAAACCUAUGAUUCUACCCAUUGUAGAUUAUACCAUUGCUAAUAACUUGGCUAUUUUCUUUCCAGACUCAAUGAGGAAAAGAUACUGGAUAGAAGGAUAACAAGCAUGUGGAAUGCAGUAGCCAAUUAACUGUUAAAAACCCUCAAGGCCAGUUCUCAGGAUCUAGUGCUUUUUCCUUCUCCCAUAGGCCGCUGGCCCAACUUCUUCUCCAUUUUAUUUCAUUUUUUGACUAGGUAAUACAUAUUCAAGGUGUAUACAGAAAGAAGGCUCCCUACCCCUGACUCAGCACAGUUCUCUCCCCAAAGGUAACCACUGUUACCAAUUACAUAGCCUGAGCAAAUAUACAUAGUAUUUUCUUUUUCCUUUUAACAUAAAAUAGAUAUACCUUGUUUUUCUCACUUAAGGUUUUGGAGUUUUUUCAUGUAGGUAAAAAUAGUGCUUCCUCAUUUUUUUAUGUCGCAUACUAUUUACUUCCUGGACAUUGCAUCAUUUAUGCACUUAACUUUUGUGCCCCUUCAAUGUGCCAGGUACUGCUAGCCUUGGAAAACAGGUGAACAAGGUCUGUCUUCAUGGAGCUUAAGUUCUGGAGAGACAACAAACCAGGGAGCACAAGUAGGUAGAGCAGCAGGCAG